UUCUACUGCUACAACCAAGGGCGAAGAGGCAAAUCAAAGGCCGCCAAAUCUGUUUCAAGAUCCUCAAAGGCCGGUCUUCAAUUUCCCGUCGGUAGAAUCGCUUAGAUUCCUCAAGGCAGGUAAAUACGCCGAACGUGUUGGUGCUGGUGCUCCCGUUUACCUCUCCGCCGUUCUCGAAUAUCUCGCCGCUGAGGUUUUGGAAUUGGCUGGGAAUGCUGCCAGAGACAACAAGAAGAAUCGUAUUGUUCCAAGGCAUAUUCAGCUUGCUGUAAGGAACGAUGAGGAACUGAGCAAGCUUUUGGGAACUGUAACCAUUGCUAAUGGCGGUGUUUUGCCUAAUAUUCAUCAAACUUUGUUACCUAAGAAGGUUGGAAAGGGAAAAGAAGAAAUUGGAUCUGCAUCUCAAGAAUUCUAG
rnacentral:lncRNA from 1 species